rnacentral:lncRNA from 1 species
CACACUUUGACUCUGCUAUAAAUAUGCAUGAUUAGGCAGGAUCCAGGAGGUGGCUGAGCAGAGACCACGAAUGGUUAGUCCCUAAGCAGAGCGACGGAGUCUCACCACAUCGGAAAGGCCUUGGAGAAAUCACCAAGACUCCAGCAACGGAGAGUCGGCUCCAUCUCAGGAGGCGGAACUAGGUUUCUCCAGGUCAGAAGGGCUGCAAAUGUGAAGGGAGGACAGAGGACAGAGGAAGAAAGACAGAAGGGACACUUGGACGGAUCAAAGAUAAGGAGGCUCCCAGAGCAGAGAGAGCCACUGUAGUUUCCAGCAGAGCCUUGGUUGGUGAAAGGGAAUGUCAAAGUGCCACUGAAAACUGUGGCUGGUUCUGCUGUGUCCUCUGCAUUCAAGCUUAUAUUUUUAUUAUAAUCUUUAUUCUAACAUGUG